GGAGUUAGCCGGUGCUUCUUCUGUGAGUGAUGUCCUUCCUGCCGGUUAUUGACCCGCAGGCCUUCUUCCUCACUGAAAGUGCUUUACAACCCGAAGGCCUUCUUCACACACGCGGCAUGGCUGGAUCAGGGUUGCCCCCAUUGUCCAAUAUUCCCCACUGCUGCCUCCCGUAGGAGUCUGGGCCGUGUCUCAGUCCCAGUGUGGCUGAUCAUCCUCUCAGACCAGCUACGGAUCGUCGCCUUGGUGAGCCGUUACCUCACCAACCAGCUAAUCCGACAUAGGCUCAUCCGAUAGCGCGAGGCCCGAAGGUCCCCCGCUUUCCCCCGUAGGGCGUAUGCGGUAUUAGCCUGGGUUUCCCCAGGUUAUCCCCCACUACCCGGGCAGAUUCCUAUGCAUUACUCACCCGUCCGCCGCUCGCCACCAGGGAGCCAAGCUCCCCGUGCUGCCGCUCGACUUGCAUGUGUUAGGCCUGCCGCCAGCGUUCAAUCUGAGCCAUAAUCAAACUCUGA
rnacentral:rRNA from 1 species